GACGAACGCUGGCGGCGCGCUUAACACAUGCAAGUCGAGCGAGAACCAGCCUUUCGGGGCUGGGGACAGCGGCGAACGGGUGAGUAACACGUGAGUAAUCUGCCCUCGGCACCGGGAUAGCCCGGGGAAACCCGGAUUAAUACCGGAUGGCCUCUCGAGCUCUCGGGCUCGUGAGAAAAGGUAGCUUCGGCCUCCGGCCGCGGAGGAGCUCGCGGCGGAUUAGCUUGUUGGCGGGGUAACGGCCCACCAAGGCGACGAUCCGUAGCUGGUCUGAGAGGAUGAUCAGCCACACUGGGACUGAGACACGGCCCAGACUCCUACGGGAGGCAGCAGUGGGGAAUCUUGCGCAAUGGGCGAAAGCCUGACGCAGCGACGCCGCGUGGGGGAAGAAGGCCUUCGGGUUGUAAACCUCUUUCAGGAGGGACGAAGCCACUCGGGUUAAUAGCCCAGAGGGUGACGGUACCUCCAGAAGAAGCCCCGGCUAACUACGUGCCAGCAGCCGCGGUAA
rnacentral:rRNA from 1 species